rnacentral:rRNA from 1 species
UACGUAGGGCGCAAGCGUUGUCCGGAAUUAUUGGGCGUAAAGAGCUCGUAGGCGGCCAGUUGCGUCUGCUGUGAAAUCCCGGGGCUCAACCCCGGGCGUGCAGUGGAUACGGGCUGGCUAGAGGCAGGCAGGGGAGAACGGAAUUCCCGGUGUAGCGGUGAAAUGCGCAGAUAUCAGGAGGAACACCGGUGGCGAAGGCGGGUCUCUGGGCAGUAACUGACGCUGAGGAGCGAAAGCGUGGGGAGCAAACAGG